rnacentral:rRNA from 1 species
GACGAACGCUGGCGGCGUGCUUAACACAUGCAAGUCGAACGGAAAGGCCCCUUUGGGGGUACUCGAGUGGCGAACGGGUGAGUAACACGUGAGUAACCUGCCCUUGACUUCGGGAUAACUUCAGGAAACUGGGGCUAAUACCGGAUAGGAAUCCUUGCUGCAUGGUGGGGGUUGGAAAGCUUCGGCGGUUUUGGAUGGACUCGCGGCUUAUCAGCUUGUUGGUGGGGUAGUGGCUUACCAAGGCUUUGACGGGUAGCCGGCCUGAGAGAGCGACCGGCCACAUUGGGACUUGGAUACGGCCCAGACUCCUACGGGAGGCAGCAGUGGGGAAUAUUGCACAAUAGGCGGAAGCCUGAUGCAGCAACGCCGCGUGCGGGAUGACGGCCUUCGGGUUGUAAACCGCUUUCAGCAGGGGCGAAGCUUGUGGUGACGGUACCUGCAGAAGAAGCACCGGCUAACUACGUG